ACGGAAGGCAGCAGUGGGGAAUAUUGCACAAUGGGCGAAAGCCUGAUGCAGCGACGCCGCGUGAGUGAAGAAGUAUCUCGGUAUGUAAAGCUCUAUCAGCAGGGAAGAAAAUGACGGUACCUGACUAAGAAGCCCCGGCUAACUACGUGCCAGCAGCCGCGGUAAUACGUAGGGGGCAAGCGUUAUCCGGAUUUACUGGGUGUAAAGGGAGCGUAGACGGUUUGGCAAGUCUGAAGUGAAAUGCGGGGGCUCAACUCCUGAACUGCUUUGGAAACUGUCGAACUAGAGUGCAGGAGAGGUAAGUGGAAUUCCUAGUGUAGCGGUGAAAUGCGUAGAUAUUAGGAGGAACACCAGUGGCGAAGGCGGCUUACUGGACUGUAACUGACGUUGAGGCUCGAGAGCGUGGGGAGCAAACAGGAUUAGAUACCCUGGUA
rnacentral:rRNA from 1 species